rnacentral:rRNA from 1 species
CCUACGGGAGGCAGCAGUGAGGAAUAUUGGUCAAUGGACGCAAGUCUGAACCAGCCAUGCCGCGUGCAGGAAGACGGCUCUAUGAGUUGUAAACUGCUUUUGUACGAGGGUAAACGCAGAUACGCGUAUCUGUCUGAAAGUAUCGUACGAAUAAGGAUCGGCUAACUCCGUGCCAGCAGCCGCGGUAAUACGGAGGAUUCAAGCGUUAUCCGGAUUUAUUGGGUUUAAAGGGUGCGUAGGCGGUCGGAUAAGUUAGAGGUGAAAUCCCGAGGCUCAACUUCGGAAUUGCCUCUGAUACUGGUCGGCUAGAGAGUGAGAAGUAUGCGGAAUGCGUGGUGUAGCGGUGAAAUGCAUAGAUAGCACGCAGAACUCAGAUUGCGAAGGCAGCAUACCGGCGCUCAACUGACGCUCAUGCACGAAAGUGUGGGUAUCGAACAGGAUUAGAUACCCCAGUAGUC